GACGAACGCUGGCGGCGUGCUUAACACAUGCAAGUCGAACGGUGAAGGAGAGCUUGCUCUCCGGAUCAGUGGCGAACGGGUGAGUAACACGUGGGCAACCUGCCCCAGACUUCGGGAUAACGCUUCGAAAGAGGUGCUAAUACCGGAUACGAACUCCUUGGGCAUCCUUGGAGUUGGAAAGUUUUUCGGUCUGGGAUGGGCCCGCGGCCUAUCAGCUUGUUGGUGAGGUAACGGCUCACCAAGGCGACGACGGGUAGCCGGCCUGGGAGGGCGACCGGCCAGACUGGGACUGGGACACGGCCCAGACUCCUACGGGAGGCAGCAGUGGGGAAUAUUGCGCAAUGGGCGAAAGCCUGACGCAGCAACGCCGCGUGAGGGAUGACGGCCUUCGGGUUGUAAACCUCUUUCAGCAGGGAAGAAGCGAAAGUGACGGUACCUGCAGAAGAAGCACCGGCUAACUACGUGCCAGCCGCCGCAGUAAUAC
rnacentral:rRNA from 1 species